rnacentral:rRNA from 1 species
UACGUAGGGUGCGAGCGUUGUCCGGAAUUAUUGGGCGUAAAGAGCUUGUAGGCGGUUUGUCGCGUCUGCUGUGAAAUUCCAGGGCUUAACCCUGGGCUUGCAGUGGGUACGGGCAGACUAGAGUGUGGUAGGGGAGACUGGAAUUCCUGGUGUAGCGGUGAAAUGCGUAGAUAUCGGGAGGAACACCAGUGGCGAAGGCGAUCAUCUGGGGUUGUUCUGACACUGAGGAGCGAAAGCUAGGGGAGCAAACGGG